CAGUCGAACGAAGCACUUAUCUUUGAUUCUUCGGAUGAAGAGGUUUGUGACCGUUUGGCGGACGGGUGAGUAACGCGUGGGUAACCUGCCUCAUACAGGGGGAUAACAGUUAGAAAUGACUGCUAAUACCGCAUAAGACCACGGAGCCGCAUGGCUCAGUGGGAAAAACUCCGGUGGUAUGAGAUGGACCCGCGUCUGAUUAGGUAGUUGGUGGGGUAACGGCCUACCAAGCCAACGAUCAGUAGCCGACCUGAGAGGGUGACCGGCCACAUUGGGACUGAGACACGGCCCAAACUCCUACGGGAGGCAGCAGUGGGGAAUAUUGCACAAUGGGGGAAACCCUGAUGCAGCGACGCCGCGUGAGCGAAGAAGUAUUUCGGUAUGUAAAGCUCUAUCAGCAGGGAAGAAAAUGACGGUACCUGACUAAGAAGCACCGGCUAAAUACGUGCCAGCAGCCGCGGUAAUACGUAUGGUGCAAGCGUUAUCCGGAUUUACUGGGUGUAAAGGGAGCGUAGACGGCUGUGUAAGUCUGAAGUGAAAGCCCGGGGCUCAACCCCGGGACUGCUUUGGAAACUAUGCAGCUAGAGUGUCGGAGAGGUAAGUGGAAUUCCCAGUGUAGCGGUGAAAUGCGUAGAUAUUGGGAGGAACACCAGUGGCGAAGGCGGCUUACUGGACGAUGACUGACGUUGAGGCUCGAAAGCGUGGGGAGCAAACAGGAUUAGAUACCCUGGUAGUCCACGCCGUANACGAUGACUACUA
rnacentral:rRNA from 1 species